GUAGGUGGCAAGCGUUGUCCGGAAUUAUUGGGCGUAAAGCGCGCGCAGACGGGUUCUUUAAGUCUGAUGUGAAAGCCCACGGGCUCAACCGUGGGGGGUCAUUGGAAACUGGAGAACUUGAGUACAGAAGAGGAAAGCGGAAUUCCACGUGUAGCGGUGAAAUGCGUAGAGAUGUGGAGGAACACCAGUGGCGAAGGCGGCUUUCUGGUCUGUAACUGACGCUGAGGCGCGAAAGCGUGGGGAGCAAACAGGAUUAGAUACCCUGGUAGUCCACGCCGUAAACGAUGAGUGCUAAGUGUUAGGGGGUUUCCGCCCCUUAGUGCUGCAGCUAACGCAUUAAGCACUCCGCCUGGGGAGUACGGCCGCAAGGCUG
rnacentral:rRNA from 1 species